rnacentral:tRNA from 1 species
GUCGCCAUAGCUCAGUUGGUUAGAGCGUGGGUUAAUAACACACCCAAGGUCGCAGGUUCGAACCCUGCUGGCGGCA